rnacentral:rRNA from 1 species
CACGUAGGGACCAAGCGUUGUCCGGAUUCAUUGGGCGUAAAGAGCUCGUAGGCGGUUCGAUAAGUCGGGUGUGAAACCUCCAGGCUCAACCUGGAGACGCCACCCGAUACUGUCGUGACUAGAGUCCAGUAGGGGAGCGUGGAAUUCCUGGUGUAGCGGUGAAAUGCGCAGAUAUCAGGAGGGACACCGGUGGCGAAGGCGACACCCUGGACCGGUAUUGACGCUGAGGCGCGAAAGCCAGGGGAGCAAACGGG